rnacentral:rRNA from 1 species
AGCUGGAAUCGCUAGUAAUCGCGGAUCAGCAUGCCGCGGUGAAUACGUUCCCGGGCCUUGUACACACCGCCCGUCACACCACGAGAGUUUGUAACACCCGAAGUCGGUGAGGUAACCUUUUAGGAGCAGCCGCCGAAGGUGGGACAGAUGAUUGGGGUGAAGUCGUAACAAGGUAGCCGUAUCGGAAGGUGCGGCUGGAUCACCUCCUUUCUAAGGA